AAUGGGCGCAAGCCUGAUCCAGCAAUGCCGCGUGUGUGAAGAAGGCCUGCGGGUUGUAAAGCACUUUCAGUGGGGAAGAACGGAUGCGGGCCAAUACCCCGGAUCACCGACGUUACCCACAGAAGAAGCACCGGCUAACUCCGUGCCAGCAGCCGCGGUAAUACGAAGGGUGCGAGCGUUAAUCGGAAUUACUGGGCGUAAAGCGCGCGUAGGUGGUUAAGUAAGCGAUCUGUGAAAGCCCCGGGCUUAACCUGGGAACUGCAGGUCGAACUGCUUGGCUAGAGUAUGGUAGAGGGGUGUGGAAUUUCCUGUGUAGCGGUGAAAUGCGUAGAUAUAGGAAGGAACAUCAGUGGCGAAGGCGACACCCUGGACCGAUACUGACACUGAGGCACGAAAGCGUGGGUAGCGAA
rnacentral:rRNA from 1 species